rnacentral:rRNA from 1 species
GCCAGACUCCUACGGGAGGCAGCAGUGGGGAAUAUUGCACAAUGGGGGAAACCCUGAUGCAGCAACGCCGCGUGAGUGAAGAAGUAUUUCGGUAUGUAAAGCUCUAUCAGCAGGGAAGAAGAUGACGGUACCUGACCAAGAAGCCCCGGCUAACUACGUGCCAGCAGCCGCGGUAAUACGUAGGGGGCAAGCGUUAUCCGGAUUUACUGGGUGUAAAGGGAGCGCAGACGGCAGUGCAAGUCUGGAGUGAAAGCCCGGGGCCCAACCCCGGACUGCUCUGGAAACUGUACGGCUGGAGUGCAGGAGAGGUAAGUGGAAUUCCUAGUGUAGCGGUGAAAUGCGUAGAUAUUAGGAGGAACACCAGUGGCGAAGGCGGCUUACUGGACUGUAACUGACGUUGAGGCUCGAAAGCGUGGGGAGCAAACAGGAUUAGAUACCCGAGUA